rnacentral:tRNA from 1 species
GACGUCGUAGUGUAACGGUAGCACCCCUGCCGAUUAGAGGCCAACCAGAAUGAAAGCAGGUAGAGCAGGUUCAAUUCCUGACGACGUCGCCA